CUCUUCUCACUUUCUCUUCUUCCUCUCUCCUCUUCUUCUUCACACUCUCCUCUUCUUCUUCACACUCUCCUCUUCUUCUCACUCCUUCUCAUUCUCUCCUCUUCCUCCUCUCUCCUCACUUUCUCCUCUUCCUCAUCUCUCCUCUUCUUCCUUCUCUGUCCUCCUCUUGUUCUCAUUUUCUCCACUUCCUCCUCUCUCCUCUUCUUCACUCACUCUCUCCUCUUCUUCUCACUCUCUCCUUUUCCUCCUCUCUCUUUUCUUUCUCUCACUUACUCCUCUUCCUCCUCUCUUCUUCCUCUCAGUCUCUCUUCUUCUCACACUCUCUUCUUCAUCUCUCUAAUUUUCUUCUCACUCUCUCCUUUUCUUCAUCUCACUCCUUUUCUUCAUCUCACUCCUUUUCUUCUCACUCUCUCCUCUUCUUCCUCUUAUUUACUCCUCUUCGUCCUCUCUCUUCUUCUCACUCUCUCCUCUCCUCACACUCUCUUCUUCAUAUCUCUCUCCUUUUCUCACUCUCUCCUCUUUGUCCUCUGUCCUUCUCUUCUUCCACUUUCUCCUCUUCUUCUUCUCUCUCUCUCUUCUUCUUCUCACUCUCUCCCCCUCUUUCUCUUUUUUUCUUCCUUUCUAAACUUAGAAUAAAAACACAGCAGUAGAAGUUACCAUGCUCCUAGGAAUUAAAAAAAAAAAAACAAACAACCUUUAAAAAUAAAAGUUUCUACUCCCUGGGAAUAUAAAAAUAA
rnacentral:lncRNA from 1 species